rnacentral:rRNA from 1 species
UGGGGAAUAUUGGACAAUGGGCGAAAGCCUGAUCCAGCCAUGCCGCGUGUGUGAAGAAGGUCUUCGGAUUGUAAAGCACUUUAAGUUGGGAGGAAGGGCAUUAACCUAAUACGUUAGUGUUUUGACGUUACCGACAGAAUAAGCACCGGCUAACUCUGUGCCAGCAGCCGCGGUAAUACAGAGGGUGCAAGCGUUAAUCGGAAUUACUGGGCGUAAAGCGCGCGUAGGUGGUUUGUUAAGUUGGAUGUGAAAUCCCCGGGCUCAACCUGGGAACUGCAUUCAAAACUGACUGACUAGAGUAUGGUAGAGGGUGGUGGAAUUUCCUGUGUAGCGGUGAAAUGCGUAGAUAUAGGAAGGAACACCAGUGGAGAAGGCGA